rnacentral:piRNA from 1 species
UAGCUAGGAAGCAAUGGAG